CAGUAGCCACGGGAAUACGUAGGGUGCAAGCGUUAUCCGGAUUCACUGGGUUUAAAGGGUGCGUAGGUGGGCAGGUAAGUCAGUGGUGAAAUCUCCGGGCUUAACCCGGAAACUGCCGUUGAUACUAUCUGUCUUGAAUAUAGUGGAGGUGAGCGGAAUAUGUCAUGUAGCGGUGAAAUGCUUAGAUAUGACAUAGAACACCAAUUGCGAAGGCAGCUCGCUACACUAUCAUUGACACUGAGGCACGAAAGCGUGGGGAUCAAACAGGAUUAGAUACCCGUGUAGUCCCUGUAUCUUAUAC
rnacentral:rRNA from 1 species